GCCCGGUGACAAAGUUUAACGGCUACGGUACCCUGACCGUACGAAGGUAGCAUAAUCACUUGUUCCUUAAAUAGGGACUUGUAUCAACGGCAUCACGAGGGCUGCACUGUCUCCUCUCUUCAAUCAGUGAAACUGAUCCCCCCGUGAAGAAGCGGGGAUUAACCUAUAAGACGAGAAGACCCCAUGGAGCUUUAAACACGUGCUCACACUAUACUUACAUACCCCUUAACUAAAAGCCCUGAGUACAAGUUUUAGGUUGGGGAGACCGCGGAGAACAACCAAACCUCCACGACAAACGGCCCUUAAGUCCUUAUCCACGAGCCACAGCUCUAAGAAUCAACAUACUGAUGAUUAUGACCCGAUAUUAUUCGACUAACGAACCAAGUUACCCUGGGGAUAACAGCGCAAUCUACUUCAAGAGCUCAUAUCGACAAGUAGGUUUACGACCUCGAUGUUGG
rnacentral:rRNA from 1 species